UAUCUUUUUAAGUAGUUUUUCAUUUGCCAUGAACUUUUGUUUCUUUUUGAACUUUAAACCAAAAAUGCUAACACUCUCCAAGCACAUUGAUUCUUAAUUUUCAGAAGCUGUAAUGAGAAUAGCUCAAGUGAGCUGAGUGUACACAAGCUGGAGAAUAUCUAACUCUGCCUUUUGUUUUGUUUUGUUUUCAUUUUGUUGUGUCUUUUAAUGGCCAGGGCAGCCUUCUUAAUCUCAUUUCUAAAAUGGCAACAAAUACUGCAAACAUCAUAAGUUUUUAAAGGAAAGAAAUACUUUAAACUUUCAGAAAUGUUAUUUUAGAUAAAAGGUAUUAUAACUAUUAUUUAAAAUUACUUUUAAAUGAUCAUUAUAUACUAACUGAAAUUGAUAGCAUUAAAAAAAAGUCCUUUGGUGCAAUAAGAGCGAGCAUGCAACUUUUAAUUAUAUAUUAUACUUAUUGAAUUUUUAUUAGUAGCAUAAGUAUGGUAAUAUAUGUUAGGGAAAUCUUUGGGAUACAAUGCUUUUCAUAGUCUUAAUGACUUGGUAACUACAGGUAUAUCUUUUUUUUUUUUUUUUUUGUCUUUUUGCCAUUUCUUGGGCCGCUCCUGCAGUAUAUGGAGGUUCCCAGGCUAGGGGUCGAAUCGGACCUGUAGCCGCCAGCCUAUGCCAGAGCCACAGCAACGGGGGAUCCGAGCCACGUCUGCAACCUACACCACAGCUCAUGGCAAUGCAGAAUCGUCAACCCACUGGGCAAGGGCAGGGACCGAACCCGCAACCUCAUGGUUCCUAGUCGGAUUCGUUAACCACUGCGCCACGAUGGGAACUCCCACAGACACAUUUUAAGGGAAGUGUUUUGUGAUCAUAACUUUGUAUUUUCUCUGCUAUCAAAGCUUUGGCAAAAUGAUAGUAAGAGGGUAGAUAUUUUGUUAAGUAUUUUAAUCAGUAAAAAAAAAAUAAUGGUAAUCAAGAGGGUGGUAGGAAGCUUUGGGAUGAUGGAAAUAUGUUUAUGGCAUAGAGUGUGCUGAUGGUUUCACAGGUGAAUACUUAUCUCCAGAGUAAUCAAACUUUAUACAGUACAUAUAUAUAGCUUUUUGUAUGUCACAUACACAAAAAGCCAUAAAUUGACUUCUUUCACAGCUGGGAGCAUAUUCUGUGUACAUGUUUCUCGACCUUAUCUGAGCCAAUAAACUCUCUAUUACAAAUAUUUUAAAAGUCCCCUUAUUAUCCUGAGAUAAAAUUCAUAUUUAAUAUAAUUUAUUACAUAAACAUAAAAUAGUUAAAAAGCAACAUAAUUCCAUAAUUGUAAUUUAAAGGAGAAGAAAAAGGAUCAUGGUUUAUAAUAAAGUAAUACAUAUCUUGGGGUGUGAAUGCUUGGCAGGACGACACUGGAAGAAGGAACGAAGUUGGCAUGGUGUGUAUGUCACCGUGACUGACCUUUGCUGGGAGAGCUUUGAUGUGUUGGCUACUCAGACACAAGAGUGGCUUUGCUGUCUGUGAAAUGCCUCACCAAACAAUGAAUAACUUCUGGUAAAGUUAUGAACAAAAUGGUGCAUAAUCUUAAUGCCAUGAUAGUUGUGUUUCCACACAUUUCAAUUUGUGUUAAAUCUAUGGGAGAAAAGCUUUGUGUUUGUGUGUAAAAGGUAGUUAUACCCUAGGCUCAAAUGAUUGAUUGCAAUAGAAAGUUAUUCAGGAUGUAGCCUAGGUAUUUGUUAUUUAUUGGAUUGACUCAUUCACUGCAAAAUACUUAGCAUCCCUGGCCUCCACCUGUUAAAUGCCAGACGGCCCCUAUCCAUCAUAACUACCAAAAUGUCCCCACAUUUUCCAAAAUGGCUUCGAGGGCUUUCCUUGGAGAACCAUGUGAUUGCCAGUGAGCACUGCUGUUGCCUCUAUAAAGGAGGGAGAUAAAUGCCCCCUACUCCACGUGUCAUUGAGUCUUUCAUAAUUGAGCUCAAUCAUGAUAAGUAAAUAGGCUAAAAUCAUGUCACUAUAAAAUAGGACUCUUACCAAAAGCUUUAUUUGGGGACUUUAAAGUACUUGAAAUUAUAAUGAUCUUCUAAUGGUGAACUUGGGACGAUUUCUAGAUUUGCAGUUUUUAGGAGAUUUUAGUGGGAACUGUAUUAGAAAAAUGUCUCCCCCAAAUUUAGCUGGGAAGUUGCCAUACCCUCUGCCAAAAGGUAUGCCUUACCUAUGAACUGACAUGAAAAGGGCAGUAAGACAAAAUGAACAGGGCUUGUGCUAUGGGGAGAAACUCAGUCACAGUGUGGUGUAAGUUGAGUUCCCUAGGAUGAGACUCUAAGACAGUGUUCAGCGUUUGAGGGGUUUGUCAGAGAAUGCCCUAGGGAUCCACACCUGUGCCAUCAGGCAGAGCAGGAAGAAAGGUCAAGCUAUAGCCAGGCUUCAUAUCUACUUAGGAUGCCUGCAUGGAGAGGCUAGACUAGUAGAGGUACAGUGGCCUCUCGGAGCUGGACCAGCAUGGCAGAGAUCUUUGUCUCAUGGACCUUGUAUGUGGACAGCUCCAAAAGGGAGUGGCCUUGAGUCAGGCCACUCUUUGAAAGUGGAGUGAGCUCUGAAAGGGCUAACAACUUAUGACUGUCUGCUGACUGCACACCCGGAAGUUAGGACAGCUAGUCCUUUGUUAAAAGGGGGGUGUGGAGGGCACAUCACAGUGUUUACAGCAUAGAUCAGACCAUCUGUCCAACUGGAAUCCAAACAUCCCCCCUGGCAAGGGUGCCCAUGGUAUCUAGUCGGUUGAAUGAGAGGCUGUGGCAGCAAGAAUCUCUGGCGUACAUCUUAUGUAUGGCAGUACAUGCAGCUGUUAUUGUUCUAGGAAGACCUAGCUGUACUGAAGAGGAACUGUGAGUAAAGAAGAGUCCAGGAGCAGGAUACUGGUCAGAGAACCAAGUCCAGUCCCUAAGCAAAUAAGCUGAAGUUGAAGGCAGGGCUCCAGCCCAAGUGGAGAAAAGAGGGACUUAGGAGCUAGAAUGCCUUCUGGAAGCCGAGGUAGGAGUUGCAUAGUCUGGACGAAGAUCAUAGGUUUGGGGAAAUUGGCUGCACAUCAGAGGGAAAAGUCUGGGGGCCCAACAUCAGGGAGGGAAUUAGGCUCUAACACCCCAUGUCUGAGUCAGGAUGGGCUCAGAGGUUGCAGGCCAGGCAUCACUGAAGGUUUUUAUUACUGUGAUUGUGUGAGGUAAAAUGGGCAGAACUAAGAGGAAGGAGAAACUCAUAAUGUGCACACAUAUACACAGUGGAAUUCAGUGUGCUUUGAGGAAGCAUGUUUUGGUUGUAUUAAUAGGCUUAGCAAAAUGGCCAGUCUGGGCCAUUUUCAGGGGAUUUAGAAAAACCAAAUAGCUCUUAUCUCCAACGAAGGAAAUCUAAAAUCUGUGUCUUAUAAAAAGAAGUGACUAUGGAAUAGAAAGUCAGGGGAUCAGAGGUCAACCUUAGUGCUUCUUCUUUUGAUUGGCAUGCAGUCCAGCUCCUCUGUCUGGAGUUUUAGGGCCUGCACAGUUUUAUUUCAUCCACUUGUUCUGCCUUAUUCCCUGGCCACUUACGUGUGGCAUGAUCCUCCGAUGUCUUCUGGUUGACAGCUCCCCCAGCUCUUUGCCUCUCCUGUCCACCCUUCUUUUUGAGGCUCACUUCAGAUCACACCUUCUCCAUGGAGAUCUGCUCCAUACAGCAUCUGCUCUCCUGUAAUUGUACUGGCUAAGCUGAAUUAUCUAAUUAUUCUCAACUUAUUUCCUGGAUACUACUUAUAACUUCCCAGCUAAACAGAUUGUCAUCCUCCUCAAGGAAAGAAUCAUGACAGCAAAGGACUGGGGACCAAGUGGCUGCUGGGUAAAUAGUGAGAAAUUCAUCUGUUAGCUUGGUCUGGGAAAGCAUAUUCCAACUCAGGUGUCUUGAAAUAAUGACAUGGUCUUGGUUUUUUAAUUUUGUUUUCAUUUUUAAGAGUUUUAUUGAAAUGUAAUUGAUUUAAAAUAUUGUGAUAUAAUUUCUGCUGUACAACAAAGUGAUUCAAUUAUACAUGUACACACAUCCAUUCUUUUUCAGAUUCUUUUCCCAAAUAGACCAUUAAAGAAUUUUGGGUAGAGGUCCCUGUACUAUACAGCAGCAGUUCCCUGUUGGCCAGUCAUUCCAUAUACCACAGUGUGCAUGUGCCUAUACCAACCUCCCCCUCUCCCCCCACCCCCCGACCUGUCCCCUUUGGUAGACAAGGUCUUGUUUUGUUUUGUUUUUUCUUUUUUCUUUUCUUUUUACGGCUAUAACUGCAGCAUAUGGAAGUUCCCAGGCUAGGGGUCGAAUCAAAGCUGCAGCUGCCAGCCUGCACCAUAGCCACAGCAACAUGGGUUCCAAGCUGUGUCUGUGACCUACGCCACAGCUCAUGGCAACACCAGAUCGUUAACCCACUGAGCAGGGCAGGGAUCGAACCCACAUCCUCAUGGAUACUAGUCAGGUUCUAAACCCACUGAGCCAAAAGGGGAAUUCUGACAAGGUCUUCUUUUUAAAUAAUCUCCUCAUAAGAUCUCAUGUUUUCUUACAUCUGAUGAUAAUGAAAAUAUCUCAUCUCAAACCUAUGAAGAUAUGAAUUCCUAUCAGCAUAACCUCCUUCCUCUUUGAAUUAAUAUGUUUUUAUGGCAGUCAAGAGUUUAGGUCUCACUGGGAAUUAACUUUCGUCUUAUUUAUAUGGCAGUGCCAUCUAUGAAUCUCUCUGAGAGACACCUGCCCUGCCAUCUUUUCUACAGUUUUGACCAAGAGGGUACUUAGUGGUAGCUAUGGGACAACAUUAAUUACUCUCGGGAAUGUAUUUCUAGGGUAGAAUCUGAAGUUCAGGAUUAAGAGAAUCAGCUUUUGCUCCUGACAUUUUGUUUCAUCUGUGUUAUUUAAUUAGAGAUGGCCUUGUAUUAUUAAGGACUUUUUCUCUUGAAUCAGAUGGUGUUUCUUUUCCUAAAGCUCAAUCCCAUAAACACCUAUAUUCUGCAAACAUCAACUCCAUUUUGUGAGACCUCAGCAAUGCAAAGAGUACUUUGAGCUCUCCUGGUUGACUCAUGAAUCUUACAUAAAUCAGCAAUUUGAAAUCUUUGAUGUAUUUAUUCAAGCCUGAAGAGGAUCUUGUUUUUAAUUCAAUGAAUUUGUUUAAAAAUAUCCUCCUUUUGACCUAACACUGUCUCUGUGAGGUUGUGGGUUCCAUCCCUGGCCUUACUCAGUGGGUUAAGGUUCUGGGUUUGCUGCAAUCUGUGGCAUAGGGCACAGUUACGGCUUGAAUCCAGUGUUGCCAUGGCUGUGGUAUAGGCCUCAGCUGCAGCUCUGAUUCAGCUCCUGGCCCGGGAACUUCCAUAUGCCUCAGGUGCAGUCCUAAAAAGAAAAGAAAAAAACUUCUUUUUUUUUAAAAAAAAAGGUGUCAUGUUAGUCUUCACAUUUAUGUUAGUUAUUAAUAAUGAUUGUUAUAUGUAUGUGUUUCUGUAUCUGUAUAUGUGUUUAUAUGUAUGCAUGAAAUAUCUAUUAUUACAAUAACAUUUUAAAACAAUGCUUCACAUUCCUUAAACAAAUAUUUAUGAAUUGCCCAGGGUGUGCCACUUAUCUAGGUACUAGGAGAGAACAUAUAAAAAGCCAUGCCUUAUGUUAGUGUAGUAGACAAUACAGACAAUAACAGACAUUCAGGAAGGGAAGGCAGACAAUAAUUGAGAUUAAUAAGUAAAAUAAAGCAGAAAAGGGGGAUAUGAAAUGUCAAUGGGAUUUUUUAAAUUGUGUAGCAAUUUUAUAUCAAUAGGAUGAUCAGGGAAUAAGAGGGUGACUUUUAAAAAAGACUUGAAGGGAGUGGAGGAAGGAGCCCCAAGGAUAUUUGGGAAAAGAGCACUUCAGACAGAGGUAGAGGCAAGUGCAAAGACCCUGGGGUGGAGGGACCGAUGUGUUUUUAGAAUAAAAAGGAAGGGAGUGUGGCUGAAGCAGAGACUUGGUUGGGAGGGACUAGUCAUAGAUGAGGUGAGAAAGGUAAUGAGGAGCUCGAUCUUGUAGCGGUUGAGACUUGAGAGGGGUCAUCAGGGCUUUUACUUGUAGUGAGAUGUAUGUAAGCCACCACAGGGUCAGAGCAACAGCAUCAGU
rnacentral:lncRNA from 1 species